UUAAGGCCGUGAUUGUUACGGGUUUUUCUGAUUAUUUUAGGAUUGCUGGAAAUUCCGAUUUUAGUUGAUUAUGCCAAGUUGGUUAUUAUUGUUGAUUUAAGUCUAAUUAGAGUUGAUUUUGAGGACGGUUAAAGAAUUGAAGGUUGACCACUGAACUAUUUUCUUAAAAUAUGAUCUUUAGAAUAAAAUGGUAACUUUGCUAAUAACUAAAUUACUUUAAGAAUAACUAGAAAUAUGAAAAAGUUUGUGUUUCAAAUAUUAGUUAUGAAUUCUUGA
rnacentral:lncRNA from 1 species